AUGGCGUGGCGGCGCGUCCUCUCCCAGGCUGCAAGGAACCAAUCAGCAUAUGCAAUCUAUAAUGAGUUGGCAGCCUCCUCUCCUCUGAGGUCACUUAGAAGUGACAUCAGUGCAGGUGGCGCACUCAGGAACUUACAUGAGAGGUAUCAUUCGAGCUAUUUUGGUGGCCUUUCACGCAGCAUGCGAGACCUGGGCUCCCAGAGUGAAGCUUCUAUGAUAAAAGAGAUAUACAGAAGUGACCCAGAGCGUGUGAUAAAAAUAUUUGAAAGCCAGCCUUUGUUGCAUUCGAAUCCUUCAGCACUCUCUGAGUAUGUAAAAGCUCUUGUGAAGGUCGACAGGCUGGAUGAUAGCACCUUGCUAAAAACAUUGCAAAGAGGUCUUGCUGCUUCAGAAAGGUCAGAAGGAAGCCUUGGUAGCGUGCCGGCAUUAAAGAGUGCUGGUCAAGUGACAAAAGAUGGAAUUAUUGGCACUGCGAAUGCGCCUAUUCACAUGGUUACAGCAGAAACAGGUCAAUUUAAGGAUCAGCUUUGGCGCACCUUCCGAAGCAUUGCACUGACUUUCCUUCUAAUUUCGGGCAUCGGAGCUCUCAUUGAGGAUAGAGGAAUCAGCAAAGGCCUUGGCCUAAACGAAGAGGUUCAACCAAGCAUGGAAUCUAGUACGAAAUUUAGUGAUGUAAAAGGUGUUGAUGAAGCCAAAGCUGAACUCGAGGAAAUAGUUCACUACCUUCGAGAUCCAAAGCGUUUUACACGUCUUGGGGGAAAACUGCCAAAAGGUGUUCUGCUUGUUGGUCCUCCUGGCACUGGCAAGACCAUGUUAGCGAGGGCUAUUGCUGGGGAAGCCAGCGUCCCUUUUUUCUCGUGCAGCGGUAGUGAGUUUGAGGAGAUGUUUGUAGGCGUGGGAGCUAGAAGAGUGAGGGAUCUUUUUGCUGCAGCAAAAAAACGAUCGCCUUGUAUCAUAUUCAUUGAUGAAAUUGAUGCAAUUGGUGGGAGUAGAAAUCCGAAGGAUCAGCAGUAUAUGAAGAUGACCUUGAAUCAGUUGCUUGUUGAGCUGGAUGGCUUUAAGCAGAAUGAGGGGAUAAUUGUCAUCGCUGCAACUAACUUCCCAGAGUCAUUAGAUAAAGCAUUAGUCAGACCUGGGCGCUUUGAUCGUCAUAUUGUUGUUCCCAAUCCAGAUGUUGAGGGCAGACGUCAGAUCUUAGAGAUCCACAUGUCAAAGGUCUUAAAGGGUGAUGAUGUGGAUUUGAUGAUCAUUGCCAGGGGAACACCAGGAUUUUCAGGUGCUGACCUUGCUAACUUGGUGAAUGUGGCUGCUCUUAGAGCUGCCAUGGAUGGCGCAAAAUCCGUUAGCAUGAAUGAUCUGGAGUAUGCCAAGGACCGGAUCAUGAUGGGUAGUGAGCGCAAGUCAGCAGUUAUCUCUGAUGAGUGCAGGAAGCUGACAGCAUACCAUGAAGGAGGGCAUGCCCUUGUUGCCAUGCACACGGAUGGUGCACAUCCUGUCCACAAAGCUACCAUCGUGCCCAGGGGGAUGGCCCUUGGGAUGGUGGCUCAGCUCCCUGACAAAGAUGAGACUAGCGUGUCAAGGAAACAGAUGCUAGCAAGAUUGGAUGUGUGCAUGGGAGGGCGGGUGGCAGAGGAGCUUAUAUUUGGGGAUAGCGAGGUGACAUCCGGUGCUUCAUCCGACUUUGAGCAAGCAACUUUGAUGGCAAGAGCAAUGGUUACUCAGUAUGGUAUGAGCAAGCAGGUGGGUCUUGUUUCAUACAACUAUGAAGAGGACGGAAAGACUAUGAGCUCAGAAACGAGGCUUCUAAUUGAGGAGGAGGUGAAGAAUUUCUUGGAGAAAGCAUACAACAAUGCAAAGGCUAUCCUCACCAAACACAACAAGGAGCUCCAUGCUCUAGCCAAUGCACUUCUUGAGCAUGAGACCAUGAGCGGAACCCAAAUAAAGAACUUGUUGGCCCAAGUAGAUAACAAACAGCCGCAGGGGCAUGCUGUUGAAGCCCCACAGAAGACGCCAGCUUCACCCCCAUCUCCAGCCGCAGCGGCCGCAGCCGUGGCCGCGGCGGCAGCACAACAAGCGGCAGCGCAAGCCAAGGGAGUUGCUGGUAUCGGGUCUUAG
rnacentral:rRNA from 1 species